UCCAGACUCCUACGGGAGGCAGCAGUGGGGGAUAUUGCACAAUGGGGGGAACCCUGAUGCAGCGACGCCGCGUGGGUGAAGGAGCGUUUCGGCGCGUAAAGCCCUCUCGGCAGGGAAGAAGGAGGACGGUACCUGACUAAGAAGCCCCGGCUAACUACGUGCCAGCAGCCGCGGUAAUACGGAGGGGGCAAGCGUUAUCCGGAUUUACUGGGUGUAAAGGGGGCGCAGACGGCAGCGCAAGCCAGGAGUGAAAGCCCGGGGCCCAACCCCGGGACUGCUCUUGGAACUGCGCGGCUGGAGUGCAGGAGGGGCAGGCGGAAUUCCUGGUGUAGCGGUGAAAUGCGUAGAUAUCAGGAGGAACACCGGUGGCGAAGGCGGCCUGCUGGACUGCGACUGACGUUGAGGCCCGAAAGCGUGGGGAGCAAACAGGAUUAGAUACCCGUGUA
rnacentral:rRNA from 1 species